rnacentral:rRNA from 1 species
AUCCUGCGGGAGGCAGCAGUGGGGAAUAUUGCACAAUGGGCGCAAGCCUGAUGCAGCCAUGCCGCGUGUAUGAAGAAGGCCUUCGGGUUGUAAAGUACUUUCAGCGGGGAGGAAGGCGAUAAGGUUAAUAACCUUGUCGAUUGACGUUACCCGCAGAAGAAGCACCGGCUAACUCCGUGCCAGCAGCCGCGGUAAUACGGAGGGUGCAAGCGUUAAUCGGAAUUACUGGGCGUAAAGCGCACGCAGGCGGUCUGUCAAGUCGGAUGUGAAAUCCCCGGGCUCAACCUGGGAACUGCAUUCGAAACUGGCAGGCUAGAGUCUUGUAGAGGGGGGUAGAAUUCCAGGUGUAGCGGUGAAAUGCGUAGAGAUCUGGAGGAAUACCGGUGGCGAAGGCGGCCCCCUGGACAAAGACUGACGCUCAGGUGCGAAAGCGUGGGGAGCAAACAGGAUUAGAAACCCCUGUAGUCCCAUGA